rnacentral:rRNA from 1 species
AGGUCACUGCUAUUGGGAUUCGACUAAGCCAUGCGAGUCGUGAGGGUUCGGCCCUCGGCAGACGGCUCAGUAACACGUAGAUAAUUUGCCCUUAGGUGGAGGAUACCCUCGGGAAACUGAGAAUAAUACUCCAUAGAUCUAGACUGCUGGAAUGCUUUUAGAUUGAAAGAUUUAUCGCCUAAGGAUAAGUCUGCGGACUAUCAGGUCGCAGUCAGGGUAAUGACCUGACUAGCCUAUGACGGAUACGGGUAGUGAGAGCUUUAGCCCGGAGAUGAUAUCUGAGACACGAUAUCAGGCCCUACGGGGCGCAGCAGGCGCGAAAACUUUGCACUGUGCGAAAGCACGACAAGGGAAUCCCAAGUGCUGGCUCGUAAGAGCCAGCUGUUUCUCUGUCUAAAAAACAGAGAGAGUAAGGGCUGGGUAAGACGGGUGCCAGCCGCCGCGGUAAUACCUGCAGCCCAAGUGGUGGCCGCUAUUAUUGGGCCUAAAACGUCCGUAGCCGGUUCUA